CACUACUACAAAACAGUACAUAUGUGACGAGUCAUCAGUGACGGGCCUUUCACACCCGUCACUAAUGACCAUCAUCAAUCACGGGCCUACCUCGCCCGUCACUGAUGUCCCCUUAUCAGUAACGGGCGUCCAAUGCCCGUCACUCAUGACCACUCGUUAGUAAUGGGCGCGGGAGGCCCGUCACUAAAGGUUCAAUGUAAAAAAAAAAUGCAAAAAUCACAAAAACACACAUCAGUGGCGGGCUUUAAAUCUAGACCCGCCACUGAUGACCCUUAAAGAUUGAAAUGA
rnacentral:lncRNA from 1 species